GCCGGGCCGCGCUGGGCCGGGCCGGGCCGCGCCGCCGCACCGGGAGGCAGCCUCUUUGUGUGGGAAAUGCUGAGGAUGCUGCGUGAUUUACUCUUUAAAGGGCUUAAUGAAGCAGCUUGGCCACCUCUUGUAGUAUGAGGAUGUGGUGAUGUUACAUUUCUUGUCUCAAUGCUACUGAAUUUAGAUAUCUUAAUUUUUCUCUUGAUAAUCACUUUUACUUACCAGUCUUUGUAACAGAAAUCAGUUCUCAGGUUCACCUGUGUUAUGACUGGAUAACAUCUCAAGGUACUGCCCAGAAUGGAAGGUUUUACAGGAGUGUCUGGCAUCCUCUAAUUUAGCAGUAAAGAAACCUACACGGGUGUUGUGUUUCCUCGUACCUGUUGACUCCCUGCUUAGCUUUUGAACUUGGAUCAGAUUAUAGAAGUCCCAGCUCUCUAGUCACCUAAAAUAUUUAUUGGCUUGUUAAAGAGAAGUGCAUCUGCUGCUGUGAAGCCAAGAUUUGUUUUAGAAUUCUGUCACAGGACCGUACUACUCUGUCUUUAACAGAAGACACUAUAAAGCUAAUUUUACCAUAGGAAAGAGGUAGUACGAAAGCAGUGGAAACUCAUUCAGAACAGGGAACCAUAUUCCUUUAGAGCAUUCAAGUAUUUCUUGUGGAUAUUUUGUGAAUGAUCAGCUGUGAAAAAGGUUAGUUUGGGCAUGUUGGAGCCUCAUUAAGAUGUUUUGGCAGUCCCUGAGGAGGAACCUGUAUGACAGGAUAACUGUGUGAUGUCUCACACUGUUACCCCAAAAGGACAGUCACUGGUACUUAGAAAGUGGGAGUUUUGGGAAACGGUGGGUGGAAAUACUCUCUCAAGCCAUGUAAUUAAAAUGAAACGAGCGUCCAGAGGAGCUGAUCCAGCAAGAUUCAAAGCAAGCAGAUAUUUGUGUGAGCACCAGCACGGCCAAAAACACUCUGACAAGAGAUUAAAUGUGUGACUCAGGAUUCAAACUGAUCUUUAUGGCAGUGAGCACUGCCCUUUUCUGGGUAACAGGAUAUCAAAAUUUGUUUUUCACAGCGCCUCGUGCUCGAGUUCCCUGGUGCUGAAUUAGGGAGAAGGGGCUGGACUGGCAGGAAAGGGAAUAUGGAAAACCAUCGUGCUGAUGGUGUUGCUGUGCUGCUCAGAGUCCCCUGCUGUACCCUGCUCCCCACAGAGCACAGCCCCAGCCCCGAGUGGGCAGUGUGAAAGCCCUGUGCCGGCACACGGAGCCUGGGCAGCUCGCAGUGUGUGUCUGGGCCAAGGAAAGGGCUGAGCUGGCAGCACUGGGCUUCCCCUGGCCAGGGGAUCCGGGCUCCUGCGACAUUUGAGGAGCGUGUUUGCUUCACUUCACAGAGAAACCGAAAGGGAAAUGUGCACUUGUCAGAACACUGCCCAUUCCUGCAGUGGGAUCCCCACUGCUCCUUGAAGGCCAUUCCUCAGGGCUGAGGAUUUCCUCCCAGCUCUGUCCCCUGAGCCUUGCAGAGCCCUUAGCUCUGUGUUUGUACAUCAUAUAAACCAACAUUCUCCAGAGUGAGCUCCCUGAUGGGGCAGAGCUCAUGUGGAGCAGGUUUUUGUAGCAUCUGCAACUCAGGGCUGGGUGGGGUUUAUUCCAGCUCCAGUUGCAGUUUAACUUCAGCAUCUGGCACUUCUCAGCAAAUCCAGGAGUCUUCUUUGGGUUUAUAUGUUACUGUUGCCCAUUUCCAGUGUUUGCCGUUCCUGUUGCCUUUCCAAAGAGGAUCAGUUCCGUUGGAUAGUGAGCAGAGUUGAGAGAAGCAGCUCCCAGGCUGUGCUGCUGCUCCAUCCCCGGCGUCUGGGAGCCAAUCUGGCUGUCCAGGAGCAGCUCCAGACUCGCUGUUCUCCCUGCAGACACUGCAGCUGACAGCAACAGGCACUCAUCUGCUCCCAGUCCCCACAGAAACACCCAGAACGAGCCGUGUGUUUGAUCUGGCACAGUGCAGCACUGGAGUGGCAUGAGGCAUCCCUCCAGGGAUGGAAAUGCACAGCCACCAGCAGGCCUUGGGAAGCUGAACUGUAGAUUAUCCAUCCCAGUAAUCCCAGUGUGGCUACACAGCUUUCAUAUAGGUUGAGGAAUUGGGAGUAUUAUGGUUUCUAUAUUGGCAUAAAAGUGUUCAGGCAUAAAUAUCACUACUGUGUUUCUGGCUGGCUUGAAAAUUCCACUGCACUCUCAUAAAUAGGGAGAGAUGGCCCUGGUUGGUUUUGUGGGUUUGUUUUCCUGUUUUAUUUAAACUACAGAAAUCAGGUCUCCUGAGUGCUGGAGCCAGCUGGAACAGCAGGACACUGCUCCUCCUUAUAAAGUGCCUAAUCUCACAUUUUCUAGUUCGUUGCAGCAAGAUUUGUUCCUAUCAAGUAUUUUGGUCAGCCUCCUCAAGGAAGGGUCCCAGGUUCCUUCAGCUGGAAUUUCCCUACUUGGGUGCCAGGUUGCUGAAAGCACUCUGUAUCUCCCGGAGCAGGGAUUGCAGCUGACAGAUUUAUGGCAUGUGGAAAUUCUCCUUAAUACGAAUAAAGGAGAAAGUUUUCAGAUAGAGAGUUUGUGUGUGUGUAUAGGAAAUGGGAAAUGGGUCCUGCUGAGAGCUCAGGACCUCCAAAACCACCACAUGAAUGAGCAUUGUUCAAUCCAGUGUGCAAACUGUAAACAGGGGCAGUAAAUAGAUUUAUAGAGAAGAAAACAUUUUGUACUUUUUGUAUGUACUACUGCAGAACACUCACUCACCAGAUCUUCUGUCCUGCAGGCUUUGGAUUUCCCACUGUUGCUGGGUUUGCAUAUAUGAAAAUGUAAACUGAUAACAUUUAAUAAAAUCCACAAACCAUUA